rnacentral:rRNA from 1 species
GACAGCAAUAGUUGUAGGUCAGGCUGAAGGUCUUACCUGAAUCGCUGAGAGGAGGUGCAUGGCCGUCGUCAGUUCGUACUGUGAAGCAUCCUGUUAAGUCAGGCAACGAGCGAGACCCGUGCCCACUGUUGCCAGCAUAUCCUUCGGGAUGAUGGGUACUCUGUGGGGACCGCCGCUGCUAAAGCGGAGGAAGGUGCGGGCUACGGUAGGUCAGUAUGCCCCGAAUCUCCAGGGCUACACGCGGGCUACAAUGACCGGGACAAUGGGUCCCUACCCCGAAAGGGGUUGGUAAUCUCAUAAACCCGGCCUUAGUUCGGAUCGAGGGCUGCAACUCGCCCUCGUGAAGCUGGAAUCCGUAGUAAUCGCGUUUCAAUAUAGCGCGGUGAAUACGUCCCUGCUCCUU